GGCGAGUGGCGAACGGGUGAGUAAUAUAUCGGAACGUACCCAAGAGUGGGGGAUAACGUAGCGAAAGUUACGCUAAUACCGCAUACGAUCCAAGGAUGAAAGCAGGGGACCGCAAGGCCUUGUGCUCCUGGAGCGGCCGAUAUCUGAUUAGCUAGUUGGUGAGGUAAAGGCUCACCAAGGCGACGAUCAGUAGCUGGUCUGAGAGGACGACCAGCCACACUGGAACUGAGACACGGUCCAGACUCCUACGGGAGGCAGCAGUGGGGAAUUUUGGACAAUGGGCGAAAGCCUGACGCAGCAACGCCGCGUGAGGGAAGAAGGCCUUCGGGUUGUAAACCUCUUUCAGGAGGGACGAAGCCACCAGGGUUAAUAGCCUAUGGGGUGACGGUACCUUCAGAAGAAGCCCCGGCUAACUACGUGCCAGCAGCCGCGGUAAUACGUAGGGGGCAAGCGUUGUCCGGAAUUAUUGGGCGUAAAGCGCGCGCAGGCGGCCUUUUAAGUCUGAUGUGAAGGCCCCCGGCUCAACCGGGGAGGGUCAUUGGAAA
rnacentral:rRNA from 1 species